rfam:Ixodes scapularis strain Wikel colony gcontig_1108379455991, whole genome shotgun sequence.
GCAGUCGUGGCGGAGUGGUUAACGCGAUAGACUAGAAAUCCAUUGGGGUCUCCCCGCACAGGUUCGAAUCCUGUCGACUGCG